GCGUUGGUUGUGUAUGCGUGCCUUCGCCUCGACACCGCGAUUUAUCGCGAAUGUGUGCACAUCGCGCGGCAUGUACGUUGCGGGUCCUGCAUUCUCGCGCGGUAACGCGUCGCGCUCUUUGUUUCCGAGAGACGCCCGCGGAUUAUUAUCUCGGCUCUUCCGCCGCUCACCCCGGAAUAUCUAAUGAGACAUUAAGCGGACGCGCGAUAUGCAGAAAAAUGAUCGCUUUCUCGUCCGUUCGCCCGUCUCGGCAGGAUGUAAACCUCGCGCUUGGGUGAGCAAUAUCUCUUGUCGAAAAUUGAAUACGUCUCCUCUUGUAUCAACAUUUAAUCGUGUGCCUUAUGUUUUCUCACGGACUCUAAAGUUUGAACAUUGUGUAACUUGGCACAGCGGAGUUUCGAGCUGGAUAUAUUUCUGAAAUAACAGAUCUGCCGUGAUGUUCGCGUUUGGAAUUUCUCGUGUUUCGUCACGCUUUAUGUCUCUCAUUAUUAUCGCGAUGUUUUCUCUGCGCACGUCGUGCUCAAAGGUAGACGACACGCGGAGAGAAAAAGACUCACCCCCUCGUCGACUGACUGUGGGAGCGUGUAAGAUAUCAAACGGCGGUUCGUGGGGAAAAAAAAAGAAACCGCGGAUUCGACAGUGAUAAACCGCGUCGUCGCGCGUUUACAGCCAGCGUAAAUGAGACUCCGAGAGGAACGGGCGUGAAACAAAGGCCCGUCUUCAAUUCCGCAGAGAGCUACGGAGCGCUUACAAUUCGAUCGCCAGGGCGUUUCAGAAAUCCGUAGCGAUCGAAUGUAUUAACGCCAAUAACUUGGUACGUAUCAGACUAAGGACGGGCACUGACCUCCAAGAAAUCCUUCACGGUGCUGUCGACGACCAUGAGCGGUCGUUGUAUCAGAUGAACGACGCCGUUGCGCACGGGGAUGUUCGCCUUCACUAUUUCCGCCAGCACUACUCCGGCCUGAUGAUUCGCAUCGCCCACCAAUGUGUCUGAUUGAACGUAGACUGAAAAUUGGACUAUCAAUUAGUUAUCGAAAUAUAAUACACGCGAAUCUAUGUAUCAUUGGCGCUACCAAAACGCGACCACAUCCCAUUUAGCUGAACACGAGCUCUUUACUAAACGCAAAGCCUUCUCGCAUAACGCGUAAUAAUAACAGACAAUAGCGUCAAUCUCUAAUGACAAUAUUUUUGAUUAGAUCGGGUUAUCGCGCUCCGAAUCGGAUCAACGGUCCAAAAUCAGUUUCCUGGAUGAUCGAGACAUAGGAUACGCAAGCGAUGAUUAUCACCUUUAUUCUGUGACUUGAGAAAGCUGACGACAACUUUCAGAUUGUCGGAGAAUACGAGGGUCGGAUACGGCACUUUCUCCGGCGUCGGCGAGGUGAAGAGGACCUCGUUGGGUAAAACGUGCCCGUCGAUCACCAGUUGAUCAAUCUUUUGCGGCCUCGGCUCCGGCUGUGACAGAGAAGCGAAUAUUAAAAAAAAAUCUGAAAUGGAAAGAAUAUUAAUUCAUACGAUCAUCGUCUCAGCUCGAAGGGGAAAACGUUGUCACUUUCGUUAUUUUACUAAUCGCACAUUUUUGCUAUUCGCCAAAAAGAAUCUGAUUGUUAAAGGAUGUAAUCUUCACAAAUUCUUUUAUGAAAUAAUAAACUCAUAUGAGAAAAGAAC